UCUCUCGGCUGGAUGCUUAUGCUUGAUUUGAGGAAGCGAAACACGUGAUGUUCUUGGAGUUGGAGUCCUGGAAGAAAGACUGGAUCUUUAAAGAAGUUUCAAUCUUUGAAGAAGUUUCAAUCUUUGAAGGUGUUCUUAAAGUUGUAUCUUCAAAGGAGCUUCAAUCUUUGAGGGUAUUUGAUUUCAGGAGUUGAAGAGUCUUUUAUCUCUUGGGGAUAAUUCUCUCUAUACCUUCUGAAGUUCAAAAUUCCCUCUUCACAAAUAAAGAGAACUCCUCUGUUUAUAGUAUAGAGUUCCCUGGUGGGCUUUUAUGGACUUGAACUUGGUCUGGUUCAUGGACCAUAGCCAUAAGCUCAAUGACAUGUAUUUGGGUCCUAUUUUAUUUUGGGCUAAACUAAACUUAUUUUUUUUUUGCUCAAUUGAAUUUUAGCCAAGUAAAUAAUAUUUAAUUAAACCAAAAUAAUUAAUUUGAUCCAUUGAACUAAGAAUUGUCCAAUUUGUUAAUCCCACAUACAAUUAUUUUAGUAAAUGAUUAGGUAAUUUAUGAUAUUAAAAUUUCUUAUUUAAUGAUAGAAAUAAAUAAAUAAAUUUGGUUAUCCAAAUCUAAAAAAAAAGAAAGAUGGAUUCGCAUCAAUACUAAGAGAAAGACGAUAAAAAUAUGGAGAAAAAGAUGGAGGGAGAAAUCGUAAAUAUUUUUAUUAUAUUUAUGAAAGUUCCUUUUCUAAAAUAUCGCACGUUUUCUCUUUUUAUAAAAAAUAUUUUUUUAGAUUUUCUCCUCAUUUUCAACAUUCUCUAAAACUUUUCCUCCCAUUUUCCCAAUACCCCCGACUUCAUCUUCACCAUAGCCCUUCCCCUGACUUCAUCAUGCACGCCGUCGCCAUCGCCAUCGCUGCAACUCCACGUCGCACGCCGCCGCCAAGUUUCUUCACGUCUCUGAUUCUCUGGACCUCUCUAUCGAAUCGACGCUGUGGGUUUGUUGAUAAAUGGUGUGGGGUUCGUGAGGCGAGGUUUUCUAGCGUAGGAUAUUAGGAGAGCUGCUCGUUGGUAGCAUUUGGGCAAUAAGGUUCAGAAGUUCUAAUCCAUGGAGCUGCAAUUUUUUUGGUAUGGUUUCCAUUGUUAAAUAUAAUUUGUGUGUUUUCGAAUGUUGCUUAAUUAUGUAUGGAUAUCUUUCAGUUCAAUAAUAUUGCAAGAUUUUGAAUAAUAUGGUUGCACUCAGCAAAACCUGAAGUACGCUUAAGGGGAUUGUUAGAGAUAGUUCAUUAAAAUGGUUGUUAGGGAAGUGAAGCUUUUUUGAUGAAGAACUUGAAGAAAUGGAAAGGUCUUCUUCUGCUCAAAGAAAUUGGAUAAGUGAGCUCUCUCCAUUUGUCAAACUGGUUGUUCGGAGAUGUACAAAGUUAGUUUUUCAUAGCUUGUUCUGUUCUUGUAGAAAAAGAUCAGAUUUUUUCCUCCUGUAUAGUUGGUGGUUUUUAUGUUUCUUUAUAACCAUUACUUGAAGAUCAUUUAUACUAGGUUAGUAAAUUAGUGUUCAAGGAUUUGAAUGAAUUGAUGUUCAAUCCAUUACAAUGUCAAAUAUGCAUAAUCCUUGAUUCAAUAAAGGUUCCCUCAAAUUAUGCAAGAAAGUUUCUGGAGUAUUGCUAUUUCUUUGGUUUACAACUAUUUUCUUCACCAUAAGCUCUCUGGUUUCCCUCUAUUCAAAGCUCCAAAAGAUUAGUUUGGUGCAUUUCACCAUGAUCUUGUUAGUGUUGUUGUUCAUCCCAAUGGGGAUGAAGUUAUUGUUCUAUUACUCAAGGUGAAUGCAAGUUCCUUGAUAAUGUACAAACUUGGGUUCCUAUAUGAAAUUGAGAUUUACAUUGAUUUUUUCAAAUGGUAAUUCCACAUGAAUUUCUUAUUUGUUUUAUAUUACAUGGGACGUGUGCUUCUUACUUUAGGAUUUGUGAUAUUUUGAAGAAGAAUCAGCUGGGGCUUUUGAGCUUAACCUUUGACUACUACUUUAAAUUGAAGAAAUUGGCAUGGAUUGGCUAGAUGUUGAAAUGCAACGUGGUAUUGUUAAAAGAUUGGAGACUUAGUACACAAGAAGAUUAAAGAGAAAGGAAGUUGAUCAUGAAAAAUUGCAAGAUGAAGGAGAGAGGAGGUGUAAAUCACUCAAGUUUCAGCUUAAAGCUGCAGGAAUUAAACAAAGAACAAGAGAGCCUAAUAGAUUUUUCUUUGAGGAGAGAGAUCGAAGAGAAAUCGAGGAGCGUAAUCUGCGGAAGAAAAGCUUCAGGAAGCAUCUAACACUAUCCAAGAACUGCAGGACAAGAUCAAAAUUCUAGAAAAAAGGUAAGAGACUUCUUGUGGAUGAUUGGACCAUAAACUUGUUUUGUAGGUCGGCUUUGAGAGUUAAGACACUCUUUAGCACAUUCUUAGUUGGAUUUUAGUUUCAAAAUCACACUUGGGACAUGUAAGUGUUGUUUUGAGAGACAAAAUGUCACCUAGACAUUUUUUGGGAACUUAAGUUGGUUUUGGGUUCGAAACAUAUAUGAGAUUUUUUGUUAUAAAGUACAUAGGUCAUUUUUUUUACACUUAACGGGUAUAAAUGUAAUUUUACUUCAUUUAUUUUGAUACUUGAUUCAUUUAAACAAGUAGAUAAGAUUUAACAUGAUCUUAUUCAUUUUGAUGUA